rnacentral:lncRNA from 1 species
CCCUUGGUGUGGGAUGACAUGCUACGGGACAUCCCUCAGGAACAGCUAAAAGCGUCUGGGGUGCCUCAACUGGUGGAGCCUGUGCUCUGGGACUAUGGAGCUGACCUGGAUGUCCACAGCAAAAAUUUCCUCAUAGGGAAGUACCAGGAGUGUGGCUUCCAGAGGUUGUGGGCUGCCAGUGCCUUCAAGGGAGCCACAGGGGCCAGUCAGGCUCUGCCCCCUGUUGAGCACCACAUCAGAAACCAUGAGCUGUGGCUGCAGGUGGCAGGCAGUGGGCCAGUGGAUACUCUACAAGGAAUCAUCCUGACUGGCUGGCAGAGGCUCCUCCUCGGGGCAUCAUAGCAGACCUAAUGCAAAAUCCCCAUGACAUGGAACCCACUUUGGAAAUCCUGAGCCAGGUACGACCACUUCUCUGUGCUGUGUGAGCUGCUCCCUGUGGGAAUCCCAUCCCUGGCUGCCUGUCUACAGUCACUUGUACAUGGGAUGAAGAAGGUAAUGUUUCUAGUCUGCCCGUUUGCUUAAAUACUGUUCCAGGACUGCCUAUACCCUGAUCAUCAGCCUGCGUCUCAGGUAGUUUGGGAAGCUAGAAAGGACAUAAGAAAUUCAUGCCUCAGGUGCAGAUGCAGAUUCUUUUUGCUGCUUGAGUGUUCUGAGGCCUCUCUAGAACUGGGUGCCUCUCUGCUGCAGGACCCUUUAUCCCAGUGCUCCUACACCCAGAUGACCUGAGGAAACAAAUGGCUGCAGAAAACAGGCAUGGGCAGUGCUCAGAGCGGUAGGCCAUGCAGCUUUGGCGAAAUGAACCAUGCCCAUGAAGAUUAUAAGACUACGUAGGAGUCCAUGUGUAAAGAAGGGUCCCCAAAACAUUAGCAACUGUGGCAUGGAGGAAAGGUGUAGAAGUGGUCUUAGCUUUUUUUUUUUUU